rnacentral:rRNA from 1 species
UAGGGAACCUUCCACAAUGGACGCAAGUCUGAUGGAGCAACGGCCGCGUGAGUGAAGAAGGUUUUCGGACCGUAAAGCUCUGUUGUUGGUGAAGAAGGAUAGAGGUAGUAACUGGCCUUUAUUUGACGGUAAUCAACCAGAAAGUCACGGCUAACUACGUGCCAGCAGCCGCGGUAAUCGUAGGUGGCAAGCGUUGUCCGGAUUUAUUGGGCGUAAAGCGAGCGCAGGCGGAAGAAUAAGUCUGAUGUGAAAGCCCUCGGCUUAACCGAGGAAUUGCAUCGGAAACUGUUUUUCUUGAGUGCAGAAGAGGAGAGUAGAACUCCAUGUGUAGCGGUGGAAUGCGUAGAUAUAUGGAAGAAUACCAGUGGCGAAGGCGGCUCUCUGGUCUGCAACUGACGCUGAGGCUCGAAAGCAUGGGUAGCGAACAGGAUUAGAUGCCCUGGUAGUCCAUGCCGUAAACGAUGAGUGCUAAGUGUUGGGAGGCUUCCGCCUCUCAGUGCUGCAGCUAACGCAUUAAGCACUCCGCCUGGGGGAGUACGACCGCAAGGUUGAAAC